CACAUAGUGAUGAAACUGAAUGGCAUGUUUAGAACGAUGUUGCUGGAGGGUGAGAGGAGGAUGAUGGAGGCCUCUUGGACUUUGGUUCCUUGAACAGGAUCCUAAGCUUGGAAACUCUCCAAGUGACAGAAAAUUGGCAGAUUCUUCGUCGUUGAUUCCUUACUGGCUCUUUGGAGAGGAAAGGAGUUCUGCUCAGGACUUGGCGGAGCCCUUUGCUUGGCACCUCAGCCAGUAACUCAAAGUUCAAGGAACUUGACAGACAGAGGCUGUUUUUCUGGUAAUUUAUUUUGCCUGGCAGAUGCCUGAAGAUUUUCUUCAAGUUCAAUACUGUACAUAGGGUAAACUUUGAUAUUAAUUGAAUUGGAAUGUUCCUGGAACAUGGUUCACUUUUUAUCUGCA